UUUAAAGUAACUAUUGAAUAUUUGUUUUUAUUAAAUAAUUUCAAGCAACACACUGACAAUAAAGCAUUAGAUAAUAAAGAACCUCUGAAAAACAAAGUGCACAUAUGACUACAGCAAAAAAAAUAAAAAUAAAAAUAAUAAAUAAAUAAACAUUGUUUUAUAUCUUUAGAGAACAAAUAAACAUUAUUCAGACACAUGGAUGGUUAUAACUUAGAACACAGUAAAAUGUAUAGAAAGAACAUACCAGCAUAUAUUCGUAAAAAUAGUUAUAAAAUAUACACAGCCACACUUCUGCAGGUAUAAAUAGCACUGUUAGACCGAAUGUUACUAUAUCAAUAAAUAUAAGCAAUCUUACAAGCUACAGCCAUGUGCAUUAAAUUAUUCUUUCCUGUCUUGAUAUUUUAGAGACUCACAAUAAUUCUAAAUCCUCUUUGAAUCAACAUUAACAAUAAAUUGAAUAGGAGUAAUUCCAUAUCUCUAGGAAAUUAAAUAAAACAAAGUUUUGAACAAGUUCUACACAUCAGACUUAAAAGUGAUUCUAUAUACCCAUGAUAAGCAAGCUCUUCAUACAAUCAGGAAAAAGCAAUUAUUAAAAUAUAUUUUUAAUCCGCAAUUGAACAUCGCCCUGUCCGCCAUGUUUUUUCCUCCAGUUCAGAAACUGGAGUCCUUCUGAUUGGUCUGUCGCAAGGACUGUUGGGUAGCGGACUACCGUCAGCCCGGAGCAGUGUGGGCUUUGACGAAGACCGCAUCGAGGGCGCAAUGGGGGAUGCUAAAAUCAUAAAUGGGACACACAACGGACUCGUAGACUUCACAAGCACGCGCAACUGAAGGCUACAAGACCGCAAGUCCACAUGAAGUGCGCCAUUUGGGACAGGGCCUCUACGGAAGCGAACAUUUGUAUUAAUGUAUUACUUCAUUAUACAGUGACAUGCUAUAGGCGUAUCUCAUCUAAAACUAUAAAGCUAUAUACAACUUUAUACAGUAUGUUACAUAUUAUACAUAAUAUAUAUUUAUAUAAUUAUAUGUAUUUAAUUAUAAAUUAUGAAAUAGAUUUAACUACAUCUACAUUUAACAAUUAAACUAUAAAUUUACCUAAUCUAAACAUAUUUCUAAUUCUUGUAUAAUUAUUAUAUAUGUGCAGUUUUUGUAGACUCACACUGACAUGGAAUAUUUGUAAUUUUAAAAUUAAUUCGUCUGUCAAAACAAGAAGGUGAUAAAAAUGGUGAGAAACUUGUACAUACAUUUAUAUUUUAACCUAAAAUUUAUGUUGAAAAAAAAAAAAAAAGUUAAUGGAUUUGUCAGUUGCUUACCUGAGACUAUAUUUCCCUAUGUCCAUGUCUAUGUCAAAAACAAUUUUAUAUUAGAUGAGUUAUUGAUGGCACAUCAUUUUAAGAUCCUAAUACUUAAAUUGUAUUCUUUCAUCAGAAUUCUUCAAAGUGGUUCUGAUGUUAUAACACCAGCCACUUAUCAGGCCAGCAUUGAGGGAUUUGCGAAACAUCUUGGUCUCCAGCCUGAGGAGGAACAGCAGCAGAUGAUGUCUGGGAUUCAACUGGGAAAAGAGAUAGAGCGGGAGUUCUUGUCUCACAUAUUCUUAUCAGAAGACAGAAGAGAGCCUUUGGUUGCAGGCUCAGUGGGUCCGUAUGGAGCAUUUCUACAUGAUAGGUCAGAGUAUACGGGGGCCUAUGAAGACAGGAUGGCAGUGGAGGAGUUGAAAGACUGGCAUCGCCCAGAUUCAGUGUUUAGUAAAGGCUGGAAUUGAUCUUGUUGCCAUGGAGACUAUUCCAGGUCUCAAAGAGGAAGAGGAUCUGGUGGAAGUACUCAAAGAAUUCCCUGAAACCAAAGCCUGGCUUUCCUUUUCCUGCAAGUGGGAGGAGAUUUUCUGAAGCAGUUCAGGUGGCUUGUAAGUCCACACAGCUGGUUGCUGUUGGGGUGAACUGUUGUCCUCCUCAUCUUGUAAAACCUCUUCUAGAGUCAGCCAAAGUACACAAAAAAGCAGAUUUAAGGGUGGUCUAUCCCAACAGUGGAGAGGGCUGGGAUCCCCAGACAAGAUGGAAAACAGAGAAAAGGACAUCAUUUGCAAAAUUAAGUCUUGACUGGAAAGAACAAGGGGCUUUGUGGAUUGGUCACUGUCUGGAGAGCCUCUGUGCCUAUACUCUGCUGUGUUGGACAAACGCUUCCAGGCAUUGUCUGACUUCUGGUUCCCUGUACUGAGGGACCGGCCCAAGCGUUUCACUGCUCUCACUUCAGAACCGUCCUCUGUUGCCGCUUGAC